rnacentral:ncRNA from 1 species
GAACUUGUGUUAAAUAUGUAGCACCUUCUAGUAGAAAUGCUAGUCGAAAACUCCGUUAAACGGGGAAAGCCUCAAGUUUGAGGUAACCUACCGUGCUAAAUCUUAUCUUAGAAUGAAAAUAGAAAAGUUCAGAAUGUAUCUUAUUAUUUUGUAUAGCAGAGUGAUCGGACAACAUAAAGUAAUAAGAGACUUUCUGAAAGAUUAAGAUAAGUAAAAGCCUAACGACUAUCCCUUAUGGGAGUAGAGCGCAAGUGAUUGGCGUUCGAAAAGCGGAGCACCUAAUCAGGUAAUGCUGUAGGUGAUGAUAUAGUCUGUCCUGUAUGGUGACAUACAG